UCUCUAUGAAGGCAUAUAAGAUAAAUCUAGUCUAUAUGUGGGGCAUGAUUCAUUAUGUAUAUUAUUAAAGAGAAGUUUGUAUUGUGGAAAUAGUCUUUCAAUGUAUUUGGGUAGAUUCUUGGAUAUUAGCUUAAUUUCUUGUAGAAUUAGAAUGGCAAGGUUGAAUUGUGAAAUAAGAAAGUAUAGACAUAAUAUGGAGGUGUUGAAAAAGGAAAUAUUCCAUGUGAUAAAGUAUGUGAUUUGAUUUGUAUAAGAGGGGUGUUGAGGUUGAGGAGAAGGAUGAUUAGAGGGUGGUGGUGGAUAAAAAUAGUCUAUUAGUAGGACAAUGCAUCUUAGGGCUUCUUUUACAAGGAUUAGAAGAAUAUAGAGGAAUUUAGUUUGAAUAUAUUGGAGAGCAACAAGUAGAUUAUUUGUGACUAUAUAAUCACAUAAUUAUUUAUGGAUGGUAUUUGAUAAUAUUAUGAUAUUUGCAUGAGCUUGCAUAAAUUUAUCAAAUUGAUUAGAGGUAAAAAGUAUAUGUUUCGGUAGAAUAGAGAGUUGUGUUAGUUUGAUAAGUAGGUUGAUAAAGUGAUAUUAGUUAAAAACAAGUGUUGUAUUAUAUAUAUUAGAAAAAAGACUUAGUGUUAUGAUUAGUACAAAGAGUAUUCUUAG
rnacentral:lncRNA from 1 species